ACGUGGUGGCGAUAUUGAGCUGUGUGUAGGUACACCCUGCAGCUUGCGCUUUUAACUGCUUGUGGUUGAGUGGCAGCAUGAGCGAGCUCUGCGUAUUCCAACCCGGCGUUAAGAAUCCUUCACUAGCUUUUCUUCCCGACGCUGCUUAUUUAUCUAUCGGUAGCAUGACGGGUAAUUGACGCCCUCGGAUGGCUUUGAGGUCGCCAUUUUUGGUUGGUGCCUUUGUCUUGGUGUCAGGACUGGGAUAUCAUCUGGGACACAUUACCCCACAGGUAUCCUGUUGGACCUCAACGAGGAAGUUGGCAACAGAGGAACCAGGAGAUGAGAGAGAUCGUCAGAUACCUACAGCCGCUGAGAGCCGGUAUUCCAACGCCAUGAG
rnacentral:lncRNA from 1 species